UACGUAGGGGGCAAGCGUUGUCCGGAUUUAUUGGGCGUAAAGAGCGUGUAGGCGGCUUGGUAGGUCUUGCGUCAAAACCUGAGGCUCAACCUCAGUUCGCGUGGGAAACCAUCUAGCUAGAGUCCGGAAGAGGAGAACGGAAUUCCCAGUGUAGCGGUGAAAUGCGUAGAUAUCGGGAGGAACACCAGUGGCGAAGGCGGCUUCCUGGCCUGUUCUUGACGCUGAGGCGCGAAAGCUAGGGGAGCAAACGGG
rnacentral:rRNA from 1 species